AGCCUACAUCUUGUAGGGCCUUCAAAGGGAGACCAAGGGGCAGGCUGGCUUUGAGCUAUGGCUUCCUGCAGAGGUUGGUGUUGCUGGAGAGGUGAGACACAGUUUGCAGAGCAGUGCUACAGGGCAUCGGCAGCCACAGGGCACAGGCUCCACCACUGCCAUGUGAAGCAGUUGGCAGAUUGGCAAGAUCAUCCUGUACCACAGAAGGGAUUACUGAGGCUCAGAGGGGCUGCUGUGGACACUUGGGCAGAUCAAAAGAGAUAACAGAGUACAGAGGGAGAGGGAG